AAGGACCCCGGAGCUGGAGUCUCGGGUUCGCUCUCCGCAGAGUCGCUGCCGGAACCUUAAUUCGAAAACAGCUUCCGGAGG
rfam:Choloepus hoffmanni cont1.690043, whole genome shotgun sequence.